rnacentral:misc_RNA from 1 species
GUAUCCACGUAUACCGUUUAUCGUUAGUACGUGUUUGUGGUCUGGGAAUAUGAAUAGAGAGCGUAGUAAAAGUAAUUAGGCUCGUGAAAUCAAAUAGAUUCGAAUAUUAAUAUUUCAAUUUAAUUAAUGUAGGUAUUAAUAAAUCGUGAAAAUAUUUCUAAAACAUUAUCGUAGUCGAUAAAAACAAUAAUAUCGAUAGUUGGAAAGAAUUAAUCGGACAUCUUUUAUAUGUGUACAAGUUUUCCCUAUGAUCCGCUGCAGAACUCGGGUAGUAUCAUUUCUUUCUUGCAUAUUCUCCCCCUUGCCCGUCAACCCUUAACUACCUUCCCCCAUUUCGGUGUGUACGAGUAUGAAGAGUAUCUCGGUUCCUUGUCAAGUCCUUCGUCUUAGUAAAUGUAAUAUGCACUAGUGAUAAUAAAGGUUUACGUUUAACUAAACCACAUAUAAUAUAGAUAUAUCGCGUUUAAGUGUCGAGCGCGAUUAACCUUGUGAAGCCGAUCCUCGGCUGUUUUUCAAUGAGCGAAUGAAGAAUAUUCGGUACGUUUAAGAGUGGUAUGUCAGUGUGUAUACACAGUACGAUAUUACCGUAAGCGAAGAGAGAGAAGAGGAUAAUCAUUUUAUACAAAUCUUCUUUGAACAUUUCAUUCGACAUGAUGAAGAAUAGUGCUUUGCCAAAGAAGGAGGGCAAAAUGCGUAUACGUGCUUUUCCGACAACUAUGGAUGAAAAGUACGUAGAAACCAUUUGGACCUUACUAAAAAAUGCCAUCCAAGAGAUACAAAAGAAAAAUAACUCUGGUCUUAGUUUUGAAGAAUUAUAUCGAAAUGCAUAUACUAUGGUUUUGCAUAAAUAUGGUGAACGCCUUUACACAGGAUUAAAAGAAGUAGUGACACAACAUCUUGAAAAUAAAGUACGAGACGAUGUUUUAUAUUCGCUUCAUAAUAACUUUUUACAAACAUUAAAUCAAGCAUGGAAUGAUCACACAACUUCAAUGGUAAUGAUCAGGGAUAUUUUAAUGUACAUGGACAGAGUUUAUGUACAACAAAAUGAUGUUGACAACGUAUAUAAUUUAGGACUUAUCAUAUUUCGAGAUCAGGUGGUUAGAUAUGGUUGUGUAAGAGAUCAUUUAAGAGAUACAUUAUUAGGUAUGAUUGCAAGAGAAAGACACGGUGAAGUCGUUGAUCGAAUCGCCAUAAAAAAUGCAUGCCAUAUGCUAAUGUUACUUGGCAUUAAUAGUCGUCAAGUUUAUGAAGAAGAUUUUGAAAGGCCUUUUUUACAGCAAAGUGCAGAAUUUUACAGAAUUGAAUCUCAAAAAUUUUUAGCAGAAAAUAGUGCAUCUGUUUAUAUAAAGAAAGUAGAAGCAAGAAUUUAUGAAGAAUCGGAAAGAGCGAAACACUAUUUAGAUGAGUCUACGGAACCACGGAUAGUUGAAGUUGUGGAAGAAGAAUUAAUCAAAAUCCAUAUGAAGACUAUUGUUGAAAUGGAGAACAGUGGUGUAGUACACAUGCUUAAAAAUCAGAAAACAGAAGAUCUUAGUUGUAUGUAUAAAUUAUUCUCAAGAGUAACAGAUGGUUUACGUACAGUUUUCGACUGUGUAUCUCAGUUCCUUAAAGAACGAGGACGUGCUAUGGUUCAAGAGGAGCAUGAAUCAACAACAAAUGCUGUACACUUUGUGCAGAAUUUAUUGGAUUUAAAAGACCGUUUUGAUCAUUUUCUUCAUUAUUCAUUCAAUAAUGAUAAACUUUUUAAACAAAUGAUAUCCUCAGAUUUUGAAUACUUCCUCAAUUUAAAUACUAAAAGUCCAGAAUAUUUAUCUCUAUUUAUAGAUGAUAAAUUAAAAAAAGGUUCUAAAGGGAUGACUGAACAAGAAAUUGAAGGUAUCCUGGACAAAACAAUGGUUUUGUUUAGAUUUCUUCAAGAGAAGGAUGUUUUUGAACGGUACUAUAAACAACAUCUAGCAAAACGGCUUCUUUUAAAUAAAUCAGUAUCAGAUGAUAGUGAAAAAAAUAUGAUAUCUAAACUUAAGACUGAAUGUGGAUGCCAAUUUACAUCUAAAUUAGAAGGCAUGUUUAAGGAUAUAACAGUUAGCAAUACUAUUAUGGAUGAAUUUAAGGAUCACGUUCUUACUUCUGGGACAAAUUUACAUGGUGUGGAUAUAAGUGUAAGAGUACUCACAACUGGUUUUUGGCCAACACAAUCUGCUACUCCUAAAUGUAAUCUACCAAGUGCACCACGAGGUGCAUUUGAUGCCUUUAGACGUUUCUAUCUUGCUAAACAUACGGGACGUCAAUUGACAUUGCAACCACAAUUAGGAUCUGCAGAUUUAAAUGCUAUAUUUACUGGCCAAAAAAAAGAUGAGAGUAGCUGCGGAAUAGGAUUGGAUACGCCAUCUUCUUCUGGUUCCAUCAUAAAUGGAAAUAAUAAUGGCAGUAAUAGUUUAUUAAGUCAAAGAAGCAGCGUAUGUGCAAGCGGUGCAAGAAAGCACAUAAUUCAAGUUUCAACUUACCAAAUGUGCGUGUUGAUGCUUUUCAACAAAAGAGAAUCAUUGACAUAUGAAAGAGAGACUUGGUUAGAGCUCUACAAUCUCUUGCAAUGGGCAAAUCGUCACAGAGGGUAUUAAUCAAAAAUCCUCGAACCAAAGAAAUUGAACCUUCACAUACCUUCGGUGUAAAUAAUAGUUUCUCCAGCAAAUUGCAUAGAGUUAAGAUCCAAACUGUGGCAGCAAAAGGAGAAUCGGAGCCAGAAA